UACGAAGGGGGCUAGCGUUGCUCGGAAUCACUGGGCGUAAAGCGCACGUAGGCGGAUUGUUAAGUCAGGGGUGAAAUCCUGGAGCUCAACUCCAGAAUUGCCUUUGAUACUGGCGAUCUUGAGUCCGGGAGAGGUGAGUGGAACUGCGAGUGUAGAGGUGAAAUUCGUAGAUAUUCGCAAGAACACCAGUGGCGAAGGCGGCUCACUGGCCCGGUACUGACGCUGAGGUGCGAAAGCGUGGGGAGCAAACAGGG
rnacentral:rRNA from 1 species